rnacentral:rRNA from 1 species
UACAGAGGGUGCGAGCGUUGUCCGGAAUCACUGGGCGUAAAGGGCGCGUAGGUGGCGGCCCAAGUCCAUGGUGAAAGCUCGAUGCUCAACAUCGAGUCGGCCACGGAUACUGGGUUGCUGGAGCACUGUAGAGGCAGAUGGAAUUCCGGGUGUAGCGGUGGAAUGCGUAGAGAUCCGGAAGAACACCGGUGGCGAAGGCGGUCUGCUGGGCAGUUGCUGACACUGAUGCGCGAAAGCGUGGGGAGCAAACAGG